UGCAUAUCACAAAAGCGGAGGAAAAGAAACUAACAAGGAUUCCCCUAGUAACUGCGAGUGAAGCGGGAAAAGCUCAAAUUUAAAAUCUGGUGGUCUUUGGCCAUCCGAGUUGUAAUCUAGAGAAGUGUUAUCCGCGCUGGACCGUGUACAAGUCCCCUGGAAUGGGGCGUCAUAGAGGGUGAGAAUCCCGUCUUUGACACGGACUACCAGGGCUUUGUGAUGCACUCUCAAAGAGUCGAGUUGUUUGGGAAUGCAGCUCAAAAUGGGUGGUAAAUUCCAUCUAAAGCUAAAUAUUGGCGAGAGACCGAUAGCGAACAAGUACCGUGAGGGAAAGAUGAAAAGAACUUUGGAAAGAGAGUUAAACAGUACGUGAAAUUGUUGAAAGGGAAACGCUUGAAGUCAGUCGCGUCUGCCAGGGAUCAACCUUACUUUUGUGAGGCGUACUUCCUGGUUGAUGGGUCAGCAUCAGUUUUGGUCGCUGGAUAAAGGUCAGAGAAAUGUGGCACCUUCGGGUGUGUUAUAGUCUUUGAUCAGAUACAGUGGCUGGGACUGAGGAACUCAGCGCCGCAAGGCUGUCUUAGGAUGCUGGCAAAAUGGCUUUAAUCGACCCGUCUUGAAACACGGCCAAAGGAGUCA
rnacentral:rRNA from 1 species